GUUUGAUCCUGGCUCAGAGCGAACGCUGGCGGCAGGCCUAACACAUGCAAGUCGAGCGCCCCGCAAGGGGAGCGGCAGACGGGAGAGUAACACGUGGGAACGUACCCUUCAGUUCGGAACAACCAAGGGAAACUUUGGCUAAUACCGAAUACGUCCGUAAGGAGAAAGAUUUAUCGCUGAAGGAUCGGCCCGCGUCUGAUUAGCUAGUUGGUGAGGUAAUGGCUCACCAAGGCGACGAUCGGUAGCUGGUCUGAGAGGAUGACCAGCCUCACUGGGACUGAGACACGGCCCAGACUCCUACGGGAGGCAGCAGUGGGGAAUAUUGGACAAUGGGCGCAAGCCUGAUCCAGCCAUGCCGCGUGGAUGAUGAAGGCCUUAGGGUUGUAAAGUCCUUUCAGCGGGGAAGAUAAUGACGGUACCCGCAGAAGAAGCCCCGGCUAACUUCGUGCCAGCAGCCGCGGUAAUA
rnacentral:rRNA from 1 species